rnacentral:rRNA from 1 species
GAUGAACGCUAGCGGCAGGCUUAACACAUGCAAGUCGAGGGGUAUAGUUCUUCGGAAUUAGAGACCGGCGCACGGGUGCGUAACGCGUAUGCAAUCUACCUUUCACAGAGGGAUAGCCCAGAGAAAUUUGGAUUAAUACCUCAUAGUAUAUCGAGUUGGCAUCAACAUGAUAUUAAAGAUUUAUCGGUGAAAGAUGAGCAUGCGUCCCAUUAGCUAGUUGGUAUGGUAACGGCAUACCAAGGCUACGAUGGGUAGGGGUCCUGAGAGGGAGAUCCCCACACUGGUACUGAGACACGGACCAGACUCCUACGGGAGGCAGCAGUGAGGAAUAUUGGACAAUGGGCGCAAGCCUGAUCCAGCCAUGCCGCGUGCAGGAUGACGGUCCUAUGGAUUGUAAACUGCUUUUAUACGAGAAGAAACACUCCUUCGUGAAGGAGCUUGACGGUAUCGUAAGAAUAAGGAUCGGCUAACUCCGUG